rnacentral:rRNA from 1 species
GAUGAACGCUGGCGGCGUGCCUAAUACAUGCAAGUCGAGCGAACAGACGCGGAGCUUGCUCCUCUGACGUUAGCGGCGGACGGGUGAGUAACACGUGGAUAACCUACCUAUAAGACUGGGAUAACUUCGGGAAACCGGAGCUAAUACCGGAUAAUAUAUUGAACCGCAUGGUUCAAUAGUGAAAGACGGUUUUGCUGUCACUUAUAGAUGGAUCCGCGCCGCAUUAGCUAGUUGGUAAGGUAACGGCUUACCAAGGCGACGAUGCGUAGCCGACCUGAGAGGGUGAUCGGCCACACUGGAACUGAGACACGGUCCAGACGCCUACGGGAGGCAGCAGUAGGGAAUCUUCCGCAAUGGGCGAAAGCCUGACGGAGCAACGCCGCGUGAGUGAUGAAGGUCUUCGGAUCGUAAAACUCUGUUAUUAGGGAAGAACAAAUGUGUAAGUAACUAUGCACGUCUUGACGGUACCUAAUCAGAAAGCCACGGCUAACUACGUG